GGCGAUAUGGCCGAGUGGUCUAAGGCGCUAGAAUCAGGAUUCCCUGUAAUCUAGUCUUUCGGGGCGUGGGUUCGAAUCCCACUGUCGUCA